rnacentral:rRNA from 1 species
CAGUCGCGUUCUCUGGGAUUCAGCCUUGUUUCUUGCUUGGUGCAUUUCCUAGUCUACGGGCCAGCAUGAAUCUUGAGAGGUGGAAAAGGGUUUGGGGAAUGUGGCACCUCCGGGUGUGUUAUAGCCCCUUGCUGUAUACACUGGUUGGGAUUGAGGUUUCAGUGCACGCUUCGGUUGUGCUUUGUUGCUGGCGUAACGGCUUUAAGCGACCCGUUUGAAACCACGGACCAAGGAGUCUAACAUAUAUGCG